CGUUACUGUUUUCCUGUCGGGGUAGUUGCUGCCUAUGCUAGUUUCAAGUGCUAGUUUUCACAUUAUAAAGUGUGGGUGACAGUCUGUGAUUUAUAUUUAUUGAAAGUGGAUUACGCUGCUAAAGACAAACGUCACAACACGUUCUAAAUCGCUCGAGUGACACUUUUUUUCCCAUUCACCAUUCAAUGUGAACAAGACAAAGGAGCUGAUCGUGGACUACAGGAAAAGACGGGCCGAACAGGUCCCCAUUAACGACAGGGCUGUAGUGGAGCGGGUUGAGAGUUCCAAGUUCCUUGGUGUCCACAUCACCAAUGAACAACCAGAUCCUCAAAAAGUUCUACAGCUGCAUCAUUGAGAGCAUUCUGACCAGUUGCAUCACAGCCUGGUAUGGUAACUGCUCUGCUGAUCACACCGCUCACGUCGCGUGCGUGCUUCACGUUGCAAAAUACAUUUCCACACGUUAUUCAAUCAUUGCACCCACACUGCUCGCUCAUGCCAACGAGCAUCUGUGUUGCCAGGCGCUAAAAUAGAAGCUGCUUCUAUUUGUGAUGCAGAUCGUGCUGCAAAUCCUGCCUCUCCCAUCUCCUCAUUAGUUUAUAGAAGCAGAUACCCACAUGUCAUCUCCUCAUUGGUUAUACCCACAUGGGUGAUUGAAAGAGGAACUGAGGUCGAUCAUCAUCAUGGUAAUACUAUUAGAUGCCAAUCGCCAUGUAAGAUCCAAAGACGAAAAAGCCUGAAAGGAGGAGAGAUGACUAGAAACAAUUUGGUUGACUGUUUUAUUUGAUCCACAUGGUUGCUGGCUGCGCUUUGCUACCACCAAAGAUAUUGUGAAGAUUGUCCAUUAUUUAGUUUUUGUAAGAACCCAAAAAACAGAGGCAGUUGGAGAACCUAUUCAAAUAUGGAAAGCUGUGAAAGCCUGUUUCCAAAUGAAGAGAGAGGUCUCAAUGAAUAUCCUAAGAGACUAAUGGUAUAUCCUAAAUGCCAUGGGUUAUGUGUGUAGGCCUACCUAUGUUAGAAAAUGUUGUAUACAAAAAUACAGUUAAUCACUCACAAUGUAUAAACCUAUUACAAUUGGAGCAGGCCAGCCUUGCUGGAGGUCUGCAGGGUUCUAUUUCAGCCCAGCAAUAACACACCUGAUUCAACUCAACUCAAAUCAAAUGAGUUGAUAAUCAAGUGUGCUAUUGCUGGGCUGGUAUAGAAGUCUCCUCACCCAGUAGAUUAGGGAUCAGUGGAGCGAGGUAGAUCAGUAGAUUAGGGAUCAGUGGAGCGAGGUAGAUCAGUAGAUUAGGGAUCAGUGGAGCGAGGUAGAUCAGUAGAUUAGGGAUCAGUGGAGCGAGGUAGAUCAGUAGAUUAGGGAUCAGUGGAGCGAGGUAGAUCAGUAGAUUAGGGAUCAGUGGAGCGAGGUAGAUCAGUAGAUUAGGGAUCAGUGGAGCGAGGUAGAUCAGUAGAUUAGGGAUCAGUGGAGCGAGGUAGAUCAGUAGAUUAGGGAUCAGUGGAGCGAGGUAGAUCAGUAGAUUAGGGAUCAGUGGAGCGAGGUAGAUCAGUAGAUUAGGGAUCAGUGGAGCGAGGUAGAUCAGUAGAUUAGGGAUCAGUGGAGCGAGGUAGAUCAGUAGAUUAGGGAUCAGUGGAGCGAGGUAGAUCAGUAGAUUAGGGAUCAGUGGAGCAAGGUUGGCCACUGCUGGUAUGGAGUUUUUUUUUUAACCUGAAAUAAAGUUUUUAUAAUAAUAGCCUACCUUUUA